CUACAGUCUGGUCAUUUCCCUAUGGGACCAGACUGUAAAUUAUAUCCUUAUAAACGGCGCGUUCUGACGUCGGAACGCGCCGAUUAUAGCUUAAUGCGUCAGCAGCUAUCAGUGCUGCACUCUCCCUACAGCUUUCCUCCUGCUUUGUCUGCCUCACUUCCGCCUUCACGCUGCGUGCUCUCUCGCGCCUCCUAUUAAGGUAGUGCUGCCUUUCCUACCUCUCCGUUCUCCAUUUGUCUCCCACCCUCUGAUGCUUGCUCCCUCUGUCUCUCUUCCUCUUCUGUUCCCCCUCCAUUACUGAUCUUGCUUCGUCUGCCUCGGGCUUCCGCUCCUCCUCCCUCUGCCCCUCCCACACCCUGUCACCGUUUGUUCCUGUUUCUUCAGCGCUCCAAUCCAGAUCUGUGGUUCAGGAAGUGUGUAACUCAUAGAACAAGUUUAACUUGCUCUGGUUAUAAACAAGAAGGAAUUAUAAAUGGCCUAACAAGUUAUCAAGUUUACAGAACUGGCUGGUUCUGGAUCUCAGAGGGAUGACUCAAGGCAUUUGCUCGAGGGAAGAGGUUUUGCAAGGCAAGCCGGAAACAGUCGAGAGUUAUUUUUCUGAGAAUCUGAAAUACAUCCCACAUAUUAAAAGUGUUACUACAGAACUAUUUUCCUGCAGAGAGGGAAACUUAAUGUAAUGGGAGAGAUAGAACAAGAGGGGGCUUUGCAGCUAAUGAAACACUGUAUAAUGUGUAACGCUGAAUGUUGUGCCGCACAGAACAUUUGUUUUAAUAAACAAGUAUAGCUAUUACAAGCUUUCUGCCUAAAUUUAAACCUAAAUACUGAAUAUAACUACAGACUGCUGCUUAGGUGACAUCAGAUCCUUUACAAAUUAUGCACAUAUACAAAUAAUGCUCAGACAUUUAAAGGAAUAGUAACUCUAGAUAUUUACAAAGGCCGUCUUUAGGACAUUAUGAAUGCUGCAAUUAUGGUUGUUCUAAAAUGGACAUAAAUGUUGCCCUAAAAUAUAUAAUUCAGAUAUUUGUACCCAAACGUUGUCCUUACACG